AUCGCUUCUCGGCCUUUUGGCUAAGAUCAAGUGUACUAUAAGUGCUCAUUUCCUUUAUGUGGACCAAAAUUAAUUUGUGUUAAAACAUAGUAUUGAUACUUGGUGAUUAUUUUAUUACCAUAAAUUAU
ensembl:snRNA U2 U2 spliceosomal RNA